UGCGCAGGCGGCCAGGUGUGUGAGGCGUGAAAGCCCGGAGCUCAACUCCGGAAUUGCACCUCAAACUACUUGGCUAGAGCAUUGGAGAGGGUAGCAGAAUUCACGGUGUAGCAGUGAAAUGCGUAGAUAUCGUGAGGAAUACCAGAGGCGAAGGCGGCUACCUGGACAAUUGCUGACGCUCAGGCACGAAAGCGUGGGGAGCAAAAGGGAUUAGAUACCCCUGUAGUCCACGCCCUAAACGGUGCACACUAGGUCUUGGAGGAUUCGACCCCUUCAGGGCCCAAGCUAACGCGUUAAGUGUGCCGCCUGAGGACUACGGCCGCAAGGCUAAA
rnacentral:rRNA from 1 species